GAUGAACGCUAGCGGCAGGCUUAAUACAUGCAAGUCGAGGGGCAGCAUGAAUGUAGCAAUACAUUUGAUGGCGACCGGCAAACGGGUGCGGAACACGUACACAACUUUCCUAUAAGUGGGGAAUAGCCCAGAGAAAUUUGGAUUAAUACCCCGUAACAUAAUGAUGUGGCAUCACAUUAUUAUCAUAGCUUCGGCGCUUAUUGAUGGGUGUGCGGCUGAUUAGAUAGUUGGCGGGGUAACGGCCCACCAAGUCUACGAUCAGUAGCUGAUGUGAGAGCAUGAUCAGCCACACGGGCACUGAGACACGGGCCCGACUCCUACGGGAGGCAGCAGUAAGGAAUAUUGGUCAAUGGACGCAAGUCUGAACCAGCCAUGCCGCGUGAAGGAUUAAGGUCCUCUGGAUUGUAAACUUCUUUUAUCUGGGACGAAAAAAGACUAUUCUUAGUCACUUGACGGUACCAGAUGAAUAAGCACCGGCUAACUCCGUGCCAGCAGCCGCAGUAAAAC
rnacentral:rRNA from 1 species